rnacentral:rRNA from 1 species
GUCAGCGACUUAUAUUCUGUAGCAAGGUUAACCGAAUAGGGGAGCCGAAGGGAAACCGAGUCUUAACUGGGCGUUAAGUUGCAGGGUAUAGACCCGAAACCCGGUGAUCUAGCCAUGGGCAGGUUGAAGGUUGGGUAACACUAACUGGAGGACCGAACCGACUAAUGUUGAAAAAUUAGCGGAUGACUUGUGGCUGGGGGUGAAAGGCCAAUCAAACCGGGAGAUAGCUGGUUCUCCCCGAAAGCUAUUUAGGUAGCGCCUCGUGAAUUCAUCUCCGGGGGUAGAGCACUGUUUCGGCAAGGGGGUCAUCCCGACUUACCAACCCGAUGCAAACUGCGAAUACCGGAGAAUGUUAUCACGGGAGACACACGGCGGGUGCUAACGUCCGUCGUGAAGAGGGAAACAACCCAGACCGCCAGCUAAGGUCCCAAAGUCAUGGUUAAGUGGGAAACGAUGUGGGAAGGCCCAGACAGCCAGGAUGUUGGCUUAGAAGCAGCCAUCAUUUAAAGAAAGCGUAAUAGCUCACUGGUCGAGUCGGCCUGCGCGGAAGAUGUAACGGGGCUAAACCAUGCACCGAAGCUGCGGCAGCGACACUAUGUGUUGUUGGGUAGGGGAGCGUUCUGUAAGC